UACGUAGGGUGCAGGCGUUAAUCGGAAUUACUGGGCGUAAAGCGUGCGCAGGCGGUUUGUUAAGACAGGUGUGAAAUCCCCGGGCUUAACCUGGGAACUGCGCUUGUUACUGGCAGACUUGAGUGUGGCAGAGGGGGGUGGAAUUCCAGGUGUAGCAGUGAAAUGCGUAGAUAUCUGGAGGAACACCGAUGGCGAAGGCAGCCCCCUGGGUUAACACUGACGCUCAUGCACGAAAGCGUGGGGAGCAAACAGG
rnacentral:rRNA from 1 species